CCGGAAGUGGGGGGCUGCGGCGGCAGGUGAGGGCCGCCUGCCUGGCCGGACCCCAGGGGUGUCGGACGGUGGGCAGGGCCUCCUGGGAUCCCUGAGGCGCCGGCAGGAGGAGACGCCCUGGGGUCGGUGCCUCCACCUUCCCGUCCGGGCGGUUACAGCUUUCCCGCGUUCGCUGUCAGAGGCAGGGACCGGCGACCUCGGGGGCCUGGUCCCUGAGCCACAGCGGGGAGUCGUCCGAGCAUCUCGGGAUGAGGAAGACCUUUGUCUGCAGACAUCCAGGCCAGCAUCUUUCCAUGUCGUCAUCUUCUUUCCUGGCCCUACCCUGCCUGAGGAUCUUCACUAAUGAAAUGUUGUAGAGCCCCACAGUUCUGCGUAUUUAUUUCACUGUGGAUUUGGGGGUUUUCACAUUUCAUGUAAAAUAAGGAUGUUUUGUAGGUUAUGCUUUUAACCUGCUUGUUUUGUUCAAUAUUGCUUAUGGAAAGAGCUAUGAAGAAUUAAAAGCAUUAUUUUUAGCUAAAAGUAUAAUUUUAAUUAUCGCAUCAUUACUGAAAGUUGAAUCAUAUUCAAUUUUAUGUUAAUGUCAUUAACUACAGCGAUCACUUGCUUAUGUAUUUUUAAACAUGAGUCUAAAUAAUCAAUGUAAAACUUUGUACUUUGUCGCUUACAAUUAAUGUUAUCGCACUUCACCUAGGUAAUGCCUUAGCACUCAGCUAAAAACUAAGCUACUUUCAAGUCCCAUGUUGUCCCAUUGUGGAUUUGCUUCAAAAUUUGAAAGCAAAAUUUCAAUAAAAUUUCUUCUUAGGGAGUCUGUGCUGAAUCAAAUCUGCAUUUAUACCAUAUGACGUGACUUCUGAGUAGAUGCUAACUCUUUGAAAGCCUUGAUGAAUUCCCUAUGAUAAAGACUAGUGUUCUCUAGGAAAAAUCCCAGCUUAGAUGCACAGCUUAAUCUGUUGGCACAGAACUAUCGAAAAGCAAAAUAAAUUUCACAACCUAAGGGAUAGGCAAAGGAAGGAUCUGAAUAGAGUUUUUUCAAAGAAGCUCCCCGAGUGGCCAAUGAGUACCUAAAAAGAUGGUCAACCUCGUUAGCAGUCAGAGACAUACAGCUUAGAUCCUCAUUGAGAUACAACUGCAUCCUCCUGAAGGGGCUACAAGCAAGAGGACAGAUAAGAGAUAACACAGAGUGAGAGUGUGGGGAAACUGGAACCAGAUACGCUGCAGGGGGGGAAUGUAAAAUGGUGCAGCUGCCUUUGAAAACAGUCUGGCAGCUUUUCAAAGAAUUAAAUGCAUAAAGGGCUUUCAUGUGAUCCAGCAGUUCCACUCCUGGAUGGAGAAAUGAAGAUACACUUACUCAACAAGAAAAAGACAACCAGUUUAAAAGUGGGCAAAAAAUUUGAAUAGACUUCUUUUUCCAAAGAAGGUAUGCAGAUGGCUAUAAACACAGGAAAAGAUGCUCGACAUCCUGGAGUUCUGACUAGGAACCAUGAACUUGCAGGUUCAACCUUUGGCCUCGCUCAGUGGGUUAAGGAUCCGGCAUUGAUGUGAGCUGUGGUGUAGGUCUCAGAUGUGGCUCGGAUCCUGCAUUGCUGUGGCUCUGGCAUAGGCCGGCGGCUGCAGCCCCAAUUAGACCCCAGCCUGGGAACCUCCAUAUGCCACGGGUGCAACCCUAAAAAGAAAAAAAAAAAAAAAAAAAAAAAAAAGAUGCUCAACCUCAUUGGUCAUUAGGGAAGUGCAAGUCAAAACCUCAGUGAGAUACCACUUCACACCCAUGAGGAAGGCUGUCAUCUAAGUCACAUGGUAGCAAGUGUUGAGGACGUGGAGAAAUCAGAAUCUGUGUACAUUGUUGCUGGGAAAACAAACGGCAUAGCCACUUGGGAUAAUACAGCCUGACAGUUCCUCAGUAGGUUCUCCGUAGAGUUACCAUGUGAUCCAGCAGUUCCAUUCCUAGGGCUGUACCCGAGAGAAACGAGAGUGUCCACAGAGAAGCUUGUCCAUGAACAUUCAUAGCUGCAUUAUUCACAGUAGCCAGAAAGCAGAAACAGUUCAGGUGUCAAUUAACUGAUUAAUGGAUAAAUAAAACGUAUAUCCAUUCAGGGGAAUAUUGGCCAUAAAAAGGAAUUGAUCCGUACUACAAUGUGGAUGAACCCUGAAAACAUGCUAAGUGAAAGAAGCCAGUCACAGAAGAUGACACAUUUUCUGGUUUCAUUUGCAUGAAACAUCCAGAAUAGAUAGAUCCACAGAAACAGAAAGUGCAUCUGUGGCUGCCUAGGGCUGGUGCAGGAAGUCAAGAGAAAUGACAGGUGACUGCUGAUCGGUACAGAGUUUACUUCUGGGGGGCAGAAUGAAAAUGACCCAAAAUUUGUACAACUCAAUAUACUAAAAAACAUUGAACUGUACAUGUUAAGCAGAUGAAUUAGAUGGUAUGUGAAUUGUAUCUCAAUAAGCCUGUUAAUGCGGGUAAAGUUAGGAAGGGCACCUCUCCGAGACCAGAGGUGACAGGUCACAGUGUGGCACAGAGACUGCUCAUCACCUCCCAGUAGCUGCUCUUCCCGUGCGUAGAUUGGAGGACACGGCUACCGGAACAAAGGCUGCAUUGUCCAACCCCCCAUGCAGCUUGGUGUGACUUUGUGACUGAUUCCGGGCAAUGAGAUGUCAGUGGAAGCGAUGCGUCUAACUUCUCAGUGGCCUUACCAGUCAUGAGCAAGCCCUUCCCUGCGUGCUGGAAUGCAGAUGAGAUGGCUGGAACUUGAACAACAUCUUGGGUCGUGAGGUACAAGCCACAUGUCGAAGCCAACCGAGCAACAAACCAGGUGGAGUCCCAUGUCCCUACUGGAUGUGGAGCUGCCAUCCUAGCCCUGGAUUCACUCUGUGACGGGGAAACAAACUUCUACCUUGUGUAACACAGUGUGUGACUUCGGAGUUUCUGUCACAUGCCUUCCUACGGAAUUCAAACCAACAGGCAUUAAUGUGAAUAUAGAUUAGUUAAGUUAAGGGAACUAGUGUGCCUGGCUUGUUCGUAGCUCAGAAAAUGAUAGCUCUUCCUACUCACUGAUUCCUCUUGUGCUUCAAAAAAAGCAGCCAAAGUAAAGUGUUACUAGUUCAAAAAAUAUAUUUAUAGAAGGGAAAUUUGGGGUUAUAACAUUUCAAAAGUGUACUGUAAUAAAGUAGCUUGAAGUUUAUG
rnacentral:lncRNA from 1 species